rnacentral:rRNA from 1 species
AGUGAACGCUGGCGGUAGGCCUAACACAUGCAAGUCGAACGGCAGCACAGUAAGAGCUUGCUCUUACGGGUGGCGAGUGGCGGACGGGUGGGGAAUACAUCGGAAUCUACUUUUUCGUGGGGGAUAACGUAGGGAAACUUACGCUAAUACCGCAUACGACCUACGGGUGAAAGCAGGGGAUCUUCGGACCUUGCGCGAUUGAAUGAGCCGAUGUCGGAUUAGCUAGUUGGCGGGGUAAAGGCCCACCAAGGCGACGAUCCGUAGCUGGUCUGAGAGGAUGAUCAGUCACACUGGAACUGAGACACGGUCCAGACUCCUACGGGAGGCAGCAGUGGGGAAUAUUGGACAAUGGGCGCAAGCCUGAUCCAGCCAUACCGCGUGGGUGAAGAAGGCCUUCGGGUUGUAAAGCCCUUUUGUUGGGAAAGAAAAGCAGCAGGUUAAUACCCCGCUGUUCUGACGGUACCCAAAGAAUAAGCACCGGCUAACUUCGUG